GACGAACGCUGGCGGCGUGCUUAACACAUGCAAGUCGAACGGAAAGGCCCUGCUUUUGUGGGGUGCUCGAGUGGCGAACGGGUGAGUAACACGUGAGUAACCUGCCCUUGACUUUGGGAUAACUUCAGGAAACUGGGGCUAAUACCGGAUAGGAGCUCCUGCUGCAUGGUGGGGGUUGGAAAGUUUCGGCGGUCGGGGAUGGACUCGCGGCUUAUCAGCUUGUUGGUGGGGUAGUGGCUUACCAAGGCUUUGACGGGUAGCCGGCCUGAGAGGGUGACCGGCCACAUUGGGACUGAGAUACGGACCAGACUCCUACGGGAGGCAGCAGUGGGGAAUAUUGCACAAUGGGAGGAAGCCUGAUGCAGCAGCGCCGCGUGCGGGAUGACGGCCUUCGGGUUGUAAACCGCUUUCGCCUGUGACGAAGCGUGAGUGACGGUAAUGGGUAAAGAAGCACCGGCUAACUACGUG
rnacentral:rRNA from 1 species